rnacentral:rRNA from 1 species
AAAAGCGGAAGCCGGGAAUGGAAAGCCCGGUGCAAGCGGGGUACCAGUCACUUGGCAAAUCCGGGUGGCAAUGGGAAGCCGUGAUGCGGAGCGAAAUAAAGUAGCGAAGUCCGUGAGCCAUGCGUCAAGAAAAGCCGCUAUCGUUUAUACCGUACCCGUACCGUAAACCGACACAGGUGGAUGAGGAGAGAAUCCUAAGGCCGGCGGAAGAAGCAUUGUCAAGGAACUCGGCAAAAUGGCCCCGUAACUUAGGGAUAAGGGGUGCCUGGGAAACCAGGCCGCAGAGAAUAGGCUCAAGCAACUGUUUAGCAAAAACACAGGUCUAUGAGAAACCGAAAGGUGAGGUAUAUGGGCUGACGCCUGCCCGGUGCUGGAAGGUUAAGAGGAGAGGUUAGCGCAAGCGAAGCUUUGAAUUUAAGCCCCAGUAAACGGCGGCCGUAACGAUAACGGUCCUAAGGUAGCGAAAUUCCUUGUCGGGUAAGUUCCGACCCGCACGAAAGGCGUAAUGAUUUGAGCGCUGUCUCGACAAUGCAUCCGGUGAAAUUGAAGUACCAGUGAAGAUGCUGGUUACCUGCGCCAGGACGGAAAGACCCCAUGGAGCUUUACUCCAGUUUGGUACUGGGACUCGGUAUUGCAUGUACAGGAUAGGUGGGAGGCUAGGAGACAGUAACGCCAGUUAUUGUGGAGCCGCUGUUGGGAUACCACCCUUGCAGUAUUGGGUUUCUAACCAGCCGCCGUGACCCGGCGGUGGGACAAUUCCAGACGGGGAGUUUGACUGGGGCGGUCGCCUCCGAAAGGGUAUCGGAGGCGCCCAAAGGUUCCCUCAGAAUGGACGGAAACCAUUCGAAGAGUGCAAAGGCAGAAGGGAGCUUGACUGCGACACCGACGGGUGGAGCAGGUACGAAAGUAGGGCUUAGUGAUCCGGUGGUAUUAAGUGGGAAUGCCAUCGCUCAACGGAUAAAAGCUACCCCUGGGAUAACAGGCUUAUCACUCCCAAGAGUUCACAUCGACGGAGUGGUUUGGCACCUCGAUGUCGGCUCAUCGCAUCCUGGGGCUGUAGUAGGUCCCAAGGGUUGGGCUGUUCGCCCAUUAAAGCGGUACGCGAGCUGGGUUCAGAACGUCGUGAGACAGUUCGGUCCCUAUCCGGCGUGGGCGUAGGAUAUCUGAGAGGAGCUGUCCUUAGUACGAGAGGACCGGGAUGGACGGGCCGCUGGUGCAUCGGUUAGACUGCCAAGUCUACGGCCGAGUAGCCAAGCCCGGAAGGGAUAAACGCUGAAGGCAUCUAAGCGUGAAGCCCCCCUUAAGAUGAGAUAUCCCAUUCGAAAGAAGUAAACCCCCUUGAAGACGACGAGGUAGAUAGGGCAGAGGUGGAAGUGUGGCAACACAUGGAGCUGACUGUUACUAAUCGGGUGAGGGCUUGACCG